AGAGAGUGACUAAAUCAGUUGUCCCCCCGAGCCUUCUCUUCUCCAGACUAAACAACCUCAGUUCCCUCAGCCAUUUCUCAUAAAACUUGUGCUCUAGAUCCUUCAACAGCUUUGUUGCCCUUCUUUAGACACGCUCCAGCACCUCAAUG